rnacentral:rRNA from 1 species
GAUGAACGCUGGCGGCGUGCCUAAUACAUGCAAGUCGAGCGAACAGACGAGGAGCUUGCUCCUCUGACGUUAGCGGCGGACGGGUGAGUAACACGUGGAUAACCUACCUAUAAGACUGGGAUAACUUCGGGAAGCCGGAGCUAAUACCGGAUAAUAUAUUGAACCGCAUGGUUCAAUAGUGAAAGACGGUUUUGCUGUCACUUAUAGAUGGAUCCGCGCCGCAUUAGCUAGUUGGUAAGGUAACGGCUUACCCAGGCAACGAUGCGUAGCCGACCUGAGAGGGUGAUCGGCCACACUGGAACUGAGACACGGUCCAGACUCCUACGGGAGGCAGCAGUAGGGAAUCUUCCGCAAUGGGCGAAAGCCUGACGGAGCAACGCCGCGUGAGUGAUGAAGGUCUUCGGAUCGUAAAACUCUGUUAUUAGGGAAGAACAAAUGUGUAAGUAACUAUGCACGUCUUGACGGUACCUAAUCAGAAAGCCACGGCUAACUACGUG